UAUACGAUCAAGCUAUAAAGAGCGUAUGGUGAAUGCCUUGGCACUAGACACCGAAGAAAGACGUGGUAAGCUGCGAUAAGCUACGGGGAGGCGCAAACAGCCCGUGAUCCGUGGAUUUCUGAAUGGGGAAACCCGCUGGUUCUAAUCAAUCAGCGUUAUUACACGAAUACAUACUGUAAUAAAGGGAACGCAGAGAACUGAAACAUCUCAUUAUCUGUAGGAAAAGAAAGCAACAGCGAUUGCCUAAGUAGCGGCGAGCGAACGGGCAACAGGCCAAACCAGAGUUAGAAAUAACACUGGGGUUCGGACUUGCAAUAAAGUGACUCUAUCAAACAUAGCCGAAGUUUUUUGGAAAACUAAGCGAAACAGGGUAAUAGCCCCGUAGGCGAAAUGUUUGUAGGCGCGAGCAAGUAUCCAGAGUAGCGCAGGACACGUGGAAUCCGGCGUGAAGAUAGGGGGACCAUCCCCGAAGCCUAAAUAUGAUCUAGUGACCGAUAGCGUAUAGUACCGUGAGGGAAAGUUGAAAAGAACCCCGGAAGGGGAGUGAAAUAGAACCUGAAACCAUAUGUUUACAAGCUG
rnacentral:rRNA from 1 species